CAGCCGGCGUCAGUCAGCCGUCAUUUAAUCCGUUGGUCUGACUUACGAAAUAGCUUCUGUGGGGUUGUCAUCGCAGUGUCGCUUUGGAUUUCCGUGGAUAGUUUCAGCUUCGGCUUCUGUGUGUGUUUUUUCUGUGUGCAGUUGACCGGCGAUCUAUCUGUUCAUUUCUGGUUCGGCGUGCGUUCACAAAACAAUUCACAAUUUUAGCGGCGUGCGUUUCGAAUACAUUGUACAUACCAAAUCAAAAGUGACUAAAUUACUAAAGAUGUGCUAAACUUUGUUUGCAUAACAAAAGGAAAAAAAGCGUAAUGCUCGUUUUAAAGGUGUCAAUUCAUUGAAACUUGUGCGCUCCUAAUAAGGUGCUAAAAGUCUUUAAUCUCAUAAGAGCCAAUAAUCGCUAAAAGAUGCGUUUUAAUUUUUCGAGCCAUUCGGCAGCGACGACAACCACAGCUGCAACGGCGGCGGACACAGCGACUGAGAGGUCUGAUGAAAAGGCAACAAAGCCUCUCAAGAGACCAAUGACAAUCGAAGAGGAUCCCGAUUCCCUGGACAGCGUGAUCAGCAAUCCGCAGUCGUACCCCAUAACGAUAGUUCCGAAUCGUCCAGCCAGCUUCUAUGGCCUCUCCACAAACGGCAAGUCUUUUCAGCGACAGCCCAGUUGCAGAUCUCGCAACUUUCGUCCAGGCAGCAUGCGACGUGUGCGUCGUCGCGCCGUAUUCAAGAAUGGGGAUUGCAAUGUGGUGCAAAAGCAUUUGCAGCGCAGGAGGGUGCGUUUCCUGCAGGAUAUGUACACAACAAUGGUGGACUGGCAAUGGCGCUGGACACUACUGGCCUUUGCAUUGAGCUUCAUAUUGUCCUGGCUGUUUUUUGCACUGAUAUGGUGGCUUAUUAUGUUUACACACGGCGAUCUAGAAGAGUUGCAUCUUCCGCAUAAUCAGGAGGACUCCGGUUGGGCGCCAUGCGUAUCAGCCAUUGACGGCUUCACAUCCUGUUUUUUGUUCUCCAUCGAGACGCAGCACACCAUUGGCUACGGCGUGCGCACCACCUCACCGGAGUGUCCCGAGGCAAUAUUUAUGAUGUGUUUUCAGUCCAUUUAUGGUGUGAUGUCAUCGGCGUUCAUGGCUGGCAUCGUUUUCGCCAAAAUGACACGUGCCAAGCAACGCGCCCAGACUCUACUCUUCUCCAAGCAUGCGGUGGUCUGCCAGCGCGAUGGUUGCCUCUCGUUAAUGUUCCGCGUAGGCGAUAUGCGGAAGUCCCACAUCAUUGGAGCUGGAGUGCGAGCCCAGCUUAUAAGGACGCGCAGUACAAAGGAGGGUGAAGUCAUGACACAACAUUUUACAGAGCUGCAGAUAGGCACCGACGAGUCGGGCUCCGAUCUCUUUUUCAUCUGGCCCAUGGUGAUUGAGCACCGAAUAGACGAGAACUCGCCGCUGUACAACAUGAAUGCCACCGAUAUGUUGCAGGACAAGUUCGAAAUUGUUGUGAUUCUGGAGGGCACUGUCGAGUCCACGGGCCAGUCCACGCAGGCCAGAUCGAGCUAUAUCAAUACGGAGAUUUUGUGGGGCCACCGAUUCGAUCCUGUGGUUCUGUACAACAAGGAUUUGCAAGCAUAUGAGAUCGACUAUGCUCGCUUCAAUGAGACCACUCAGGUGGACACGCCACUCUGCAGCGCCCGGGAGCUGAACGAAAUCUACAAGAUACAGGAGGGCUUCCGCACACCAGAGACGACAUUCACCAUGCGUCAGCUGUCCAACAAUCAUUCCGAUCAAGCCUCAUAAGCUUUUGUGUCGUCCAAAGUAUUGUCUUCCUAUUUGUUGCUAUAUAUAGAUAGUUCUUAGUAGUUGUAGUUGUUGGCCCCGCUUAUGCACCAGCCUACUUUGUUUUCUCUCCCAACUCGCCUAACGGCAGUACAGUUCUACUGCUCACCCAAUCCCUCGACGACUUCCACGCACUCUAACAGCUCCGGCUACAAUUCGUGGUGCGGCA